CCGCCGCGAUCUCCGCGCGCAGCGUUACUUGCACGAUUGGCAGCCUUUGCGCGGUCACCGCCACCCUUGGUACUCCCCUUGGCGCGAUCAGAAGUACCCGGACGAUUACCCCGAUCGGCACCCGCCCUAUCACGCGAAGCUGUNACGGUCACCGGCGCGAUCUCCAACGCGGUCACCUGCUCGAUCACCAGCGCGAUCUCCGCCCGGUCGA
rnacentral:misc_RNA from 1 species